rnacentral:lncRNA from 1 species
GAAAGAUUCAAGGGUCCCUCCACUUCAGGGAGUGGAGCCCGCGCCUCGGCACGGAUCAGCUGUGCGUCUCCUUUGGCCUACUGGCUCCUCUGCUUGUGUCUAUAGCUAGCUGGACGCAUCGUGACUUUAUCUUCUCAUCUUUCCUGGCGCCCCCAGACGCAUUUCCUGGUCCCUCGAGGCAGCGGCGUCUGGGGAGUGCACUUUGCACAGACAGGGAAACCGAGGCACUCAGCGGUCUCCAAUGGAGACGCUGUAAUCGCAUUCCACGACCAGCUAGCGCUAUAAGCGCUGCCUCUAAAGCGGAAGGCCUCCCAGUCCUUCUCGACAGGAAGCAAUAUUUGCAUAUCUAAGGAGAACAAGAUUCGGCAAUGUGCUCCGGGAGCAAGUGCAGGCAUGGAACGGUAUGGGCUGGA